UACGUAGGGUGCGAGCGUUAAUCGGAAUUACUGGGCGUAAAGCGUGCGCAGGCGGUUCGUGAUGUCUGAUGUGAAAGCCCCGGGCUCAACCUGGGAAUUGCAUUGGAAACUAGCGGGCUGGAGUGUGGCAGAGGGGGGUGGAAUUCCACGUGUAGCAGUGAAAUGCGUAGAGAUGUGAAGGAACACCGAUGGCGAAGGCAGCCCCCUGGGCUAACACUGACGCUCAUGCACGAAAGCGUGGGGAGCAAACAGG
rnacentral:rRNA from 1 species